AGCGAGGUGGCCGUCCCAGGCUGACGGGAAGGGCUGGCGUUCCCGGCUCCGGGGUCGCCCCUUGUCGGCCCUGCAGCUCGGCUCCUCGCGAGUGCUCCCCUCGUGCCACUAACCCGAGCUCUGCGGGAGCCUGCGGGUCGGGACCAUCUGCUCCCUUCUGCCUCGGGCCCGCGCCCACGGGAGGUUUCGCCCACCCCGCGCCCGGGCUGCAGCGGCCUAGCGCAGGCCCCGGGGCCGGUUCGAAGAAGCUUGGCUGCCCGGGACAGGCCGCUGCGGGGGCUGCAGUGAUUGAGGUAAGCCCCGCCUCGCCCCGCCCUCGCCGGCGAUUGGCCCAGGGAGGCUGCGGCAGCCAAUGGGCGUCUCGCCCGGGCCGCGCUUCUCAGACCUUUACUCAACCCUGUGGCCGUUGGCCGGGUCCCGGGCUGCUCUGUGUCCCCGCUUUCCUCCCUGCGACUUCCCAUCGGAAGGAGCCUUCUGAGGGGGUGAAGGGCACAGGGUCAGCACCUGGAUGAGAGGCCCCCUGGUUUUGGAUCGGAUGCGGAAGGGGUCGGAGCCCACCAGCGGGUCAAGGAGCUUUGGUCGAGCAGGCUUCAGAGGCUUGAAGUUGCCUCUGGAGUUGUGCUGCCGCGGAGCAGGCCGUGCGGAGAGAGUGGGGCCGCCGUUAACCACUAGAUGGUGCGUGGCUCCCCGUCAGUGGGUGGGCUCCUCGGAGACGGACCGCCGUCUUCCUCACGGGCCCAGGCUAAGAGAUCAGUAAGCGCUUUAGGAACGAAUAGGUGACUAGAUGAAGUACAGUUGAAACGGUUUAUAUAGGUUCCUGAAAAAACAAUAAAUGAUCGUUUUUGUCAACUCUUAAGUACUGGAUUGAAUACGCUAACACUGCUUGUCACGGUAUAUGCCAGCUCUUGACGCCGUUAUUUACAGCUACUCCAAACAAUGUACAAGGUAGAUAAGAACAUCACCUCGCUUCACGGCGGCCGACUUGGACUCCGAGCGUAAGUGAACGAGCACGUGCGCGGGCUCUGCUCGCUGAGAGGCCAGCGGGAGCCCCGGGGCGGGUGUGACCCGCACAGGCUCUCCGCGCGCAUGCGCUCGUUCUGCCCUAACCGUGCGUCCCGCCGCCCACCCCAUUCAGGCCCUCCGCGCGCAUGCGCUCGUUCUGCCCUAACCGUGCGUCCCGCCGCCCACCCCAUUCAGGCCAUGGUCGAGGAGCGCCCCGGGGCCUGGUUCGGCUUCGGUUUCUGCGGCUUCGGGCAGGCGCUGGGCUCCGGCCGCGGGCGCCACGUACGCAGCCCCGAGCCGCUGCGGUUGCCCGGCGCGGGCGCCGACGUCGUCCGCGUGAGCGCGAGCUGGAGCUACACCGCCUUCGUGACUCGUGGAGGCCGCGUGGAGCUGUCGGGCUCGGCGAGCGGCGCGGCGGUGGGCUGCAGGGACGCGUGGGCCUCGGAGGCGCUCCUCGCGGUGCUGCGCGCCCGGCCAGGCCCCGGGCCCGGGCUGGAGCUGCAGGCCUGGGCACCCGGCUCGGCGCUGCACGGGGAGCCGCUGUGGGCGCAGCCGGUGGUGCCGGCGGCCCCGAGGGAAGACGGGCCUGGCGGGGAGACCACGGCCGGAGCGCUACCCCUGCUGCCCUGUGCCCGCGCCUACGUGAGCCUGCGGCCGCCCUUCUACCGGCCUCUGGCCGGGGAGCUGCGGGCCCGCCGGCUGGAGCUGGGGGCCGAGCACGCGCUGCUGCUGGACGGCGCGGGCCAGGUGUUCUCCUGGGGCGGGGGCCGGCACGGGCAGCUGGGCCACGGCGCCCUGGAGGCGGAGCCCGAGCCCCGAGUGUUAGAGGCGCUGCAGGGCCUGCCCGUGGCCGAGGUGGCGGCAGGGGGCUGGCACUCGGUGUGUGUGAGUGAGACUGGGGAUAUUUAUGUCUGGGGCUGGAAUGAAUCAGGGCAGCUGGCCCUGCCCAGCAGGAGCCUGGCAGAGGACAGACAGACAGUCAAAAGGGAAGCCAGUGGACUGAGUGAAGGUGGUUCUGAAGGGAAGUGUGCAGGCAGGGGUGAGGACGGAGCCUCUGCCCCCUUCAUAGCCAUCCAGCCCUUCCCGGCGUUACUGGACCUGCCCCUGGGCUCAGCUGCAGUCCAGGCCAGCUGCGGAUCCCGGCACACAGCAGUGGUGACAAGAGCAGGGGAGCUGUAUACCUGGGGCUGGGGUAAAUACGGACAGCUUGGCCACGAGGACACAGCCAGCUUGGAUCGGCCCUGCCGUGUGGAAUACUUUGUGAAUAAUCAACUCCAAGUACGGGCUGUGAGCUGUGGGCCCUGGAACACCUAUGUGUAUGUGUGGAGAAGAGGAGAGCCGACGUAGUCAACAAGGACAUAAACAAAUAAAUGUACGGUAUAGCGAAUACUUACAAAGCGGACACCUGUGAAACUCCCUCAGGUCAAGGGAACCAAGCCCCGCAAGGCCCGCCGCUGCCCCUCCCCGGCACAGCCCUCCUGCUUCACCUUAGAGCUGCUCGCCCAGCUUUGUCCUCACAUUGGAAACACCCAGAGCGCUCUGGACAGAGGCCCGAGGCCAGCAUCCCAGACCCAGUGACAUCAGAGCCUCUCGGUGUGGGGCCGUGGCCGGGGUGGGCUCGAAGCUGCCCUGCCGCCGCCUCAUUGCAGCUCAGACUGGACCCUCCAGCACUGGCUAAGGAGAAGUGGUGAAGGCAUGCAUCCUUACUUGUUCCUGAUCUUAGAGGAGAGGCUUUUAGUCUCUCACCAGCACAGAGCCUUCCUAGAUGGUGUGUAAAAAGUGUUGCCUCGUAGUAUUAAUUUCAUUCGAUGACUGCCUAAGCGAAGUGCUAAAAACAAGGAACACCUUUCUGAAAGAAAAGGUAUAAUUUACAAACAUGAGAAACUGACAAUGCAAGACCAGUCUUAACUACUGCUUAAAACUUCCGAGCAAUCUGUCCUGAUCAGCACAAGAUGCUUUUUUUAAGGUUUGUUUCAUGACCCAGGGUGUGGUCUGGCUGGGUGACUAUUCCAUGUGCACCUGGAAAGAACAGGUCUUCUGCCAUUGCUGGGGAGUGUGUUCUGCAGUUGGGCCCAGCUGAUUAAUGGUACCUGCAACCGGUCCCAGAGCUCUCGGAUCUGAGCCCGCAGACCCUCACACACAGCUUCAUUUUGUGAUUUUCGCAUUUCCAGCUGUAGCAAGGAGAGCCAAUGGUUACAGCAAAGACAGCACAGAGGUGUUUAGCUCUCUGACCUCCCACUAAAUGUCUGGACCCACAUGGAAAAGAAGCACUUUUACCAGAUUGUGAAGAGGGGCUUGGAGGGCAGUGACUAUGGCAGCGUCAGCCACAUUUGUCCUCCUUAAUUGGCUCCAUAUUUAAGACUGAAGGAAAAAAAACUCAGUUUUUUCAAACUGCUACAUACCACGGAGAUCCCAGGCCCUAAUCUGGGUAGACAUUACCUGUCGUAGCAACUUUUGUAGUGUUGCAAUAUUCUCCAAAGAUAAACAAAAGGCAUCUUCAUCUUCACACAUCACAUCUCUUUCAAAGCUGUUCCACCUGAGUGCGCAAAUCCUUUUCUAGUUGCAAGAUGGUCGUCUCUCCUUCUUCCUGCUUAAGAAAAUGUUAUAAGGAUCCAAGUGCAUUUCUUGAAGAGAAGGGCAGUGGAAGAGGCUCCUGACUUAGGCUGGAUCACAACACAGCAACCCCUCAGCUUGGAACCGCAGUACCUGGGGCAUGCUCUGAACCUGACUGCACUCUCCUAAUCCUCCCGCUGCUGAUGCAUUUCUUCUCAAGUACCAUUUUGGCUGGUUUGGUGACGUGCAAUCUCUUGGUAUGGAAAACCCCACAAAGGCAGGUUUUUGGUAACUUUUCCCUUGUAUCACUAGUCACUUCUCCCUCAGUAGCUCUUUUCAUUUUCUUUCAGAGAGAGACAGCAUAGGACCAUCUGUGCUUAGCACUGCUUCAGAGUUAAAAAAAUGUUUUAUAUAUUCUGUAAACUGACAGCAAGAGGACGCUUGUCUUUGAUCAAAGCACUGUGACAUAUUAGCUGCUUCACCUCUCAACAGGGCAGCUCUACACAGUGAGAAUUACUUUGCUAGAACUGAUUAGCUAGACAGCAUGUCUCCCCCACUUCUCAUGUCCAAUACCACUCCUACCCUACAAGGAACCUUCUGUCUGCAGCCCCAAAUCCAAUCUUUCUCAAGUCUCAGACCCAGGCAGGGUCCUGAGACCCCCACCAUGUACCU